rnacentral:rRNA from 1 species
AGCGGCGGACGGGUGAGUAACGCGUGGGUAACCUGCCCUGUACACACGGAUAACAUACCGAAAGGUAUGCUAAUACGGGAUAACAUAAGAGAGUCGCAUGGCUAUCUUAUCAAAGCUUUUGCGGUACAGGAUGGACCCGCGUCUGAUUAGCUAGUUGGUAAGGUAACGGCUUACCAAGGCGACGAUUAGUAGCCGACCUGAGAGGGUGAUCGGCCACAUUGGAACUGAGACACGGUCCAAACUCCUACGGGAGGCAGCAGUGGGGAAUAUUGCACAAUGGGCGAAAGCCUGAUGCAGCAACGCCGCGUGAGCGAUGAAGGCCUUCGGGUCGUAAAGCUCUGUCCUCAAGGAAGAUAAUGACGGUACUUGAGGAGGAAGCCCCGGCUAACUACGUGCCAGCAGCCGCGGUAAUACGUAGGGGGCUAGCGUUGUCCGGAAUUACUGGGCGUAAAGGGUGCGUAGGCGGUCUUUCAAGUCAGAAGUGAAAGGCUACGGCUCAACCGUAGUAAGCUUUUGAAACUGUAAGACUUGAGUGCAGGAGAGGAGAGUGGAAUCCCUAGUGUAGCGGUGAAAUGCGUAGAUAUUAGGAGGAACACCAGUUGCG